rnacentral:rRNA from 1 species
UACGGAGGGUGCGAGCGUUGUCCGGAAUCACUGGGCGUAAAGGGCGCGUAGGCGGCUCAUGAAGGCUGUGGUGAAAGUCCGGGGCUCAACCUCGGAUCGGCCGUGGCGACUCGUGGGCUGGAGCACUGUAGAGGCAGGCGGAAUUCCGGGUGUAGCGGUGGAAUGCGCAGAUAUCGGGAAGAACACCCGUGGCGAAGGCGGCUCUCUGGGACGGUACUGACGCUGAGACGCGAAAGCGUGGGGAGCGAACAGG